GUGGGGAAUCUUGCGCAAUGGGCGAAAGCCUGACGCAGCAACGCCGCGUGCGGGAUGAAGGCCUUCGGGUUGUAAACCGCUUUCAGUAGGGACGAAAUUGACGGUACCUACAGAAGAAGCCCCGGCCAACUACGUGCCAGCAGCCGCGGUAACACGUAGGGGGCGAGCGUUGUCCGGAUUUAUUGGGCGUAAAGAGCUCGUAGGCGGCUCGGUAAGUCGGGUGUGAAAACUCUGGGCUCAACCCAGAGACGCCACCCGAUACUGCUGUGGCUUGAGUCCGGUAGGGGAGCGUGGAAUUCCUGGUGUAGCGGUGAAAUGCGCAGAUAUCAGGAGGAACACCAGCGGCGAAGGCGGCGCUCUGGGCCGGAACUGACGCUGAGGAGCGAAAGCGUGGGUAGCAAACAGGAUUAGAAACCCUAGUAGUCC
rnacentral:rRNA from 1 species